rfam:Triticum aestivum genome assembly, contig: Triticum_aestivum_CS42_TGACv1_scaffold_222248_3B
UUUGUACUCCCUCCGUCCCAAAAUUCUUGUCUUAAUUUUGUCUAAAUACGGAUGUAUCUAGUUACAUUUUAGUGUUAGAUACAUCCGUAUCUAAACAAAUGUAAGACAAGAAUUUUGGGACGGAGGGAAUACUAC